GGCUGGUUCAAAGGUAUUGAGUUAUCUCACUUUAUUGUUCAUAGUCAGUUACAGAUUGAACUUGUUCUACUCUAUCCCACCUUCUCACUACUGCCCUUGACUCAUCUUAA
rnacentral:Y_RNA from 1 species